GUAAAAGCCAUAGACUUGCAGGCGGCCAUUUUGGGUUAGCAGUGAGGCGAGUGGAGGAGAGAGCAGUUGGUGGCAGUUGACGGAGGACAAGGUGAGGCAAUCAGUGGAUUCUUAUUUUCUCAGUUUCUUAUUUCAUUUAUUACUUGUUUUUAUCUUCCUGAAGAUGUGCCAGAGGCUUUCUUCAUCCAGCAAUGGUGAGUAUUGGAGGAAACAAGAGUAGGGAGAGCAUAGCUGUCAACGUUUCCCUUUUUGAAGGGAAAUUCCCUUAUUCCAAAUAGGAUUCUCGCAAGGAAAGGGAAAAGUUGACAGCUAUGAGGGAGAUGAUCCCAAAGACCUGCACCCCGCUGCCAGGACUCUCAGUUGUGAGGAACGUGACAGCCUGACCUUUGCUGGAGCCAGAGCAAGAUCUCUUGCUCCAGGUGAUGCAGAGCUGCCAGGAAGCUGCCCUGAGAGGCCUCCAUGCCCUUCAGGUGUCCAAGCACCGGACAGCGGAGGCCAUUCUGGGGCUGCCGGAGAGGAGGACCCUGCUGGCUUACGUUCAGGUAUGCUGUCUGAAAGGGGAAUCAUCUUAGGGCCUUCCUGUGAAAUUCUGCGUCAGCGAUGCUGUUCCUAGAAUGGAGGCAUGUGCAACAGGUCAAUCGCGAUCUACUGGUCGAUCCACGACUCUGGUCACUGCUCCCUGAGAAAAGCUCCACAACUCUGGGCAAAGACAAUGGGUAGAUCACUGGCAGGUUUUUUAUUACUGGGAGUAGAUCUCAGCAUCUUGGAAGUUGGACGUCCCUGCUAUAGUGCAUAGGUAUAUACACACAAAACCAAACCUGAUAAAAUCGAUAAAAAUCCAUUAAAAAAAAAAACUACUCAGAGACAAUUCAGAGUGGGAGAACUCUGAAAUUUACCUGUGGAAAGAAUCUUGCAUGUUAUCUUUGGACCUUGGCAACCUUUCUUCCAUAGUUGAUGGUUCAGUACUUCACCAUUAUUUCCCCUUUGGGACCCCCUGGGGCAAAGCUUUGGGGCAACCAACCAUUUUACACAAACACACAAAAGGGGUACUUCUUACUGCAGUUCCCUUAAUGGCUCCCAAUUUUACAAAAAGAAAUUUGAAUCAAGUUUCAUGUGCAGAGCAUAGCUUUGUCACCUCUUGGUUUAAACCUACUUUUUCUUUUCUUUUCAUCUUUUUUUAAACUAACGUAGCCACUGUACAUGUACAGGGUACAUGAUUCAGCAAUCUAUUAUACCAUUUGAAGUGUUGCAUCACCUGACUAAAUUACCAUUUGAAUAAAGCCAUGAUUGGCUUUUCUUACCAGGGACUCAAGGAAGGCGAAGGGGUAGAUUUAAGAUUUAAGAGACCAAAUUCCCAAGGGCAUAAAACCUUUUCAGUUAGUUUAAAAUCCCUUUCCCAGUUUGAUGUCCUAAGACAUUUCUGAUAUGUAUGCUUUCCUGUUUCUUUUUGCUUAGGAAGCAGACUUAUAGAUCUGAAACUUUAAAUAGAUCAGAACUUCAACAUUCAGACAACCCAACAACUCAACUUUCCCACCAAAAGCCAGUAAUAAAAGUUUGGUCAAGGCACAUUCCACCUAAUUAUGAAUUUGUAUGUGCUUUAAACUUUGGCUGGACUUUAGCCUAUUUGAAGUCUGAUUUGAAUAACAGACAAAGUGAUGAAAAUCCCCAGAUAAUCACUCAAAUGCUUGAUAUCGCCAGCUCUGCUCCAAAACAUCGCCGCUUUCACCUCCCACUUCUUAACACUCUAUUCCAAACUCUGAAAACCAAUCCUUCCAUCUUUUUCUACCAAAGAGCAAAGCUUGGCUAAAUUUCAGCCCAUCACCCCACCCCACCCCACCCCACCAUAACUUAAAAUUCACUCUCCAAUGCUUGCAGACACAUCCCUUCUCCUUCGGUGAUGCCCAGAAUUGAACACAUUGUGACGACUUUAAAGAUUUGCCACCCCAUGUCAUUUCUGUAACACCUGCAAUCAUGUGUGUUGUGUUAGCAAUUCACUCCUCCCGUUGCUGGAUAUGUGGCUAGUAUGUCACAUGUCUCUGUUUACUUUCUUUUUUAAAAUAAAAUGAAUAUUUAUUGAAUUUUAUAACAAAAAAAAAUACAGAUCUCAAUCAUCAUGUUAUUUACCAUUGUUUUCCCUCCCCUCCUCUGGACUUCCCUCAACUUCCCCUCUGCUGAGUUAUUUAGCUUUAUUUGUUGUAUCCUGCUUUUCUUAUAUAAAAGCAAUUUCCCAAAUCAUUUCUCUAAAGUAUCUGUUACUGAAAUAAAGUUGUGAAAGUUUAUUCAAACCCUGCCAGUGAAUCCAGUCCAUUUUGUUGUUUCUGCAAAUAGACUGUAAAUGGUUCCCAGACUCUUUUGAAGUCCUUUUUGUCCUUCUCUCAUAGUUUAUCUGUUAGCUUAGCCAACUCUGCAGAGUUCAUCAGUUUUUCUGGCCAUUGUUCCUUUGAUGGUAUGUCUUCUGUCUUCCAAUAUUGUGCAAUCAAGAUUCUGGCCGCUGUUAUAGCAUACAUAAAUAAUAUCCAUUUUUCUUUUGGCAGCACUUGCUUUGGGAUACCUAAUAAAAAGGGUGUUUAAGAAAGUUCAUUUUCAACAUGAACCUGUUUAGUUUCCUAGGCUUGGAAAGUGUAAGAACGGAAGUCAGUCUUAUCUCUUCUGCUCUGCUGUGCUUUUGCACUGUUCUUUGUCUCCCUGUCUGUUGCUGAAGAAGAGAGAGGAUGCCAUUAUGAUCCGUUUGGUGUCUUCUGCAAAUGUGAAGAGCAUCCCCUCAGUUCCUUCAUCCAUGUCAUUUAUCAAGACGUUGAACAACAACGGACCCAGGACAGAACCCUGCAGUACCCCUCUUGUCACUUUUCCCCAGGAUGAGGAGGAACCAUGAAGGAGUCCUCUUUGGGUUCGGUCAGUCAAAUCCACCUAACAGUUACCUCAUUCAGCCCACAUUUUACCACCUUCCUCAAAUAAACAUCAGAGGACUUUGUCAAAAGCCUUACUGAAAUCGAGAUGCACUAUUUCAACAGCAGUUCCCUGAUCAACAAAGUUUGUAACUCC
rnacentral:lncRNA from 1 species